AUGCUCGCUUCAGCAGCACGCAUACUAGCACUGGAACGGUACAAAGAAGAUCGGCAGGGCCCCUGUGCUAGGAUGGCAUGCAAAUUCGUGACACAUUCCUUAUUUUU
ensembl:snRNA U6 U6 spliceosomal RNA